GACGAACGCUGGCGGCGUGCUUAACACAUGCAAGUCGAACGGUGAAGCUCCAGCUUGCUGGAGUGGAUCAGUGGCGAACGGGUGAGUAACACGUGAGCAACCUGCCCCAGACUCUGGAAUAAGCGCUGGAAACGGCGUCUAAUACUGGAUACGAGAUCAAGCCGCAUGGUUAUGGUCUGGAAAGUUUUUCGGUCUGGGAUGGGCUCGCGGCCUAUCAGCUUGUUGGUGAGGUAAUGGCUCACCAAGGCGACGACGGGUAGCCGGCCUGAGAGGGCGACCGGCCACACUGGGACUGAGACACGGCCCAGACUCCUACGGGAGGCAGAAGUGGGGAAUAUUGCACAAUGGGCGAAAGCCUGAUGCAGCGACGCCGCGUGAGGGAUGACGGCCUUCGGGUUGUAAACCUCUUUCAGCAGGGAAGAAGCGAAAGUGACGGUACCUGCAGAAGAAGCACCGGCUAACUACGUG
rnacentral:rRNA from 1 species